rnacentral:rRNA from 2 species
CAGUGAAAUUGAACUCGCUGUGAAGAUGCAGUGUACCCGCGGCAAGACGGAAAGACCCCGUGAACCUUUACUAUAGCUUGACACUGAACAUUGAGCCUUGAUGUGUAGGAUAGGUGGGAGGCUUUGAAGUGUGGACGCCAGUCUGCAUGGAGCCGACCUUGAAAUACCACCCUUUAAUGUUUGAUGUUCUAACGUGGGCCCCUUACCGGGGUUGCGGACAGUGUCUGGUGGGUAGUUUGACUGGGGCGGUCUCCUCCUAAAGAGUAACGGAGGAGCACGAAGGUUGGCUAAUCCUGGUCGGACAUCAGGAGGUUAGUGCAAUGGCAUAAGCCAGCUUGACUGCGAGCGUGACGGCGCGAGCAGGUGCGAAAGCAGGUCAUAGUGAUCCGGUGGUUCUGAAUGGAAGGGCCAUCGCUCAACGGAUAAAAGGUACUCCGGGGAUAACAGGCUGAUACCGCCCAAGAGUUCAUAUCGACGGCGGUGUUUGGCACCUCGAUGUCGGCUCAUCACAUCCUGGGGCUGAAGUAGGUCCCAAGGGUAUGGCUGUUCGCCAUUUAAAGUGGUACGCGAGCUGGGUUUAGAACGUCGUGAGACAGUUCGGUCCCUAUCUGCCGUGGGCGCUGGAGAACUGAGGGGGGCUGCUCCUAGUACGAGAGGACCGGAGUGGACGCAUCACUGGUGUUCGGGUUGUCAUGCCAAUGGCACUGCCCGGUAGCUAAAUGCGGAAGAGAUAAGUGCUGAAAGCAUCUAAGCACGAAACUUGCCCCGAGAUGAGUUCUCCCUGACUCCUUGAGAGUCCUGAAGGAACGUUGAAGACGACGACGUUGAUAGGCCGGGUGUGUAAGCGCAGCGAUGCGUUGAGCUAACCGGUACUAAUGAACCGUGAGGCUUAACCUUACAACGCCGAAG